UUUUCCCCCCCGCGGCCAAUCAGCGGGCGCGGGUUAUUUAUAGCCGCGCGGGGGAAGGGGACCAAUCGGGCCCCGCCCCGCGCGCCCCCGGCCACGCCCCGUGGCGCGCGGCCCGUCGCCAUGGCGACCGGGGGGCGGGGCAGAGGCCGCCAUGUUGGCACCGAGCCCGCGGCCCCACCGGGAUCGAGGUCGGGGGUCGGGAGCGCAGGACCGGGUUCCUGAUCCCCCCCCACCCCCGGAGGCCACAGCAGCUGCGGUCCGUGCCGUGUCGACCGUAUUGCGAUAAAACGUGGGACUUUGGGGUUUUUUUACCCCCCCCCCCCACGGUUUUCUGCAGCCACGGUCCCGCUCCCUCAUGGGCCGUUCUGUGUUACCCGUCAGGGAUCGCCCGUAACAGCAAACAGCUGAAGCGGGGGGCAAACGGCAGAAAGGGCAGGGCACGGUUCAACGUAUUUGCCUGAAUUGCCGAGAGGAAAUUAGAAAAUGAAAAUAAGAAGGAGUUGUCGGGCAAUGCUUCCCUCUACCCCCGUUUCCGCUGCAAUUGAUUGAUUUUUGAGUUGUACGUGGAAUUACCCGUUGAGCUGACACGUCUCGUUUCACUCAACGUAUUUUGUUGGUUUACGCAGAGCCCAAAACUCCCCAAGUCCUGCUCCCAAACGUUCCAGAUGAUGGGAAGGCAAAUACUGCAGUAUUGGCUGCAAGAAGUUCAUCCUGUGGGACACAAUCCGAUGGGAACAUCCCACUGGCCAUGUAUUAUUCCAUUAUUUCUGUUUCCCAGAGAAGCUGUGGCUGCCCCUGGAUCCCUGCAAGUGUCCAAGGCCAGGCUGGACAGGGCUUGGAGCAGCCUGGGAUAGUGGAAAGGAGGUUUCCUGCUAAGCUUCCAAGGAGUUUCUUCCCAUCCUUGCCCAAGGCAAGCUGAAACAUGACAUUCCUUACUCGCAGGCAGCCAUCCCAGCACGCUUCUGGUGGGUUUGAUUAAUUGGCUCUUGCUAAAUUGUUUUUAAAACUUCCAGAUUUCCCUUAUAGCAAAAAAAAAAAAAAAAAAAAAAUUAAAAAAAAAAUAAAUGAACUCCUGUCAUUCAGCCAUCUGGGUUUACAUAAAUUCUGGGACCUGAUGGGAAUUGCUAACAAGUUUGUCCCUCUCUCAAAUUCUGCAUAUACCUGGUGGUGUAUCAACACUGCUCCUUUUCUCUUUUACCUUUUUGGAGAUAUUUACCACCGAUGUUUUCAUUUGAAAGGGCCGCCCUUACAAAGCCCUUACCAUAUUGAUCCGACCUUUAAAGUUUCUGGGUUUUUUUCCACCUUGUAGACAGGCUCCAGGAAAUGGUCACAUUUCCCUGGAAUACACACCUGAGAGCACCACUGGCAUUAAGAACACCACUUCUGCCUGAAGCCGAAGCCCUUUUUGUUUCAUUUGCAGCUUCUUUAGGCUCCUGGGCUUGUUUGUUGUUCUUUGGCUGGCGAGGUUUUGCAGAGUUGCUCUGCCCUCUUUAUUCGGGGCCAACUUGUGCGCUCGGAUGGAUGGGGGAAGGAACGUGUGUAUAAAUAACCUCCCGAAUUAGUUUGGAGUGCCAAGAGACCUGUGGGUGGAAGGCCUUCAGGGCCAGAAGGUUACCAAAGCAGGGCAAUAUUUGCCAAGGCAACAGGUCUGCUGCUCAAGGCUGGUGCAGGGCACGGCUGUGGCAGCCAGCUGCCUUCCCUCGCUGCACUGCUGGAGCAGUUUGGAAACAGGAAACGAGAGGAGAGAACUGUGCCCUGGAAGUUGCCAUGGAGUGUAAGUUCUACCUUCAGGUUUUGAUUGAUGCUGUACCUGUGGCUGUGGGUGUGAGUACGUGUCUCUAUUAAUACCCAGUCUAGGCUAACCUGUGCAUAAUGGCAGAAAAUUAAACCUUUGUCCUUGCUCACGGAAAUUAGACCUCAGAGAUUCACAAGGGAAAGGCUUCUUGCUAUAUGUUAAAUCCAACAUAUUGGCUAUAGCUGUAUAUAGCCUGUUUUUAGUGUAUUUGCAGCUGAAAAACUUACUCAGAAGCCUGUUGAAGCAAAAAAUAAAAAUCUAAAAUAAAAACCAACACCCUGGCAGAGCUAAUUCAUAAAGAUUUAAAUAAAAAGCAAUUACAGAACUUCCCGCCUACCUCCACCUCAUCUUUAGCUGAACUCCUUGUUUGUCAGGAAUGAUUCCAUUUUUUAUGUUCUCAAGCAGGAAACAGCCAUCACAACACUCCAGCUAAUUUCCCUCGCUAGUCACAUGGAGCUGGUGAAAGUAAAAGAGGGUGCUUCAGUUUUCCACUCCACAGCCUAAAAAAAAGGAGGAUAGAGUUAGGAAGAGAGCCAGCAGGAACUUCCUCUGGAGCCUAGACACCAAAGAUCUACUCCAAGUGGCAGUGACACUUGGGUCCUUGGAGAAAAGUCAAGCCUAGACACGAUUUCCAACCUGAUGAUGGCUCCCUCUCCUUCCUCCCGAUCAUUCAGUCUCCACCACUGAGCUCCCUUGGUGUUCCUGUCCUACCUGUCACCUUUCCGUGCUUUAUUUCCCAUUCCCUGUUCUGCAUCUGUCCCACAGUACACUGAUUUACUCCUUUUUGCCACCAAAAGGAAAACCCCAUCAAACCCCCAUAACUUACAGCACAGCUCUGAUGGGACAGGGAAUGCUAAAUUUACAUUGCCCCCUCCCGUGUUUUCCUCCAACAUACCUUUCAUUGUGGAGUUUUGUUCGGUUGUUCCUGGCUUUUUAAUCCUGGUGAGUUUUGCUUCAGCUGGAACUCCUCGUUCUCUCCUUGCCUCACAGCUGGCUCUGAGCCACAACAAGGUGGUUCUCCUCCACUUCUGAGCCCCCCACGCCUGUGUUUGGCUGCAGGAGCCGCUUCCCAGCUUGUCUGCACACCCAACACUUCAUCAAGUCUGCAGCACUCAGGGCCUGAAGAGCUGAAAUCCUGAAGCAGUAAGAGCCAGAAUCUUAGAAACAAGUUAUUGCUGUUGUUUUGGGCAAAAUCAAGUCCCUGUCCCCCACUUGGGGGGAAAAACAAGCAAGUGCAGUUCAAAGUGGAGGUCACAAUGUAAAGUUUGCUUUCUUCUCCAUAGCUACACUUUAUUUUCGCUGAUGGAGAUACAUUGGAUUGUUAUGGCAGUCAUUUUACAAUGACUGAAUACAAUACACUUUUAAAAUAAAACUGUUUGCUGAA